UCCCCAAAUGGAGAAUCGAGAAGAAACUGCAUCUCUUGUUUUCCCUUGAAUACACUUGCUAUGUUAGAAAUGUACUCCGGUUUAGAGUACGCGUUCAUCUUCGUCUUGACAGGGUACCGGUCUAGAGCAAAGAGUCUUUGUGGUAACUCUUCAACCAUAAGAUCUUCAGUCGGAGCAACACUUG
rnacentral:sRNA from 1 species